rnacentral:rRNA from 1 species
UAACGCGUAUCGAACCUGCCGCAUACCCGGGGAUAGCCUUGCGAAAGCAAGAUUAAUACCCGAUGUUCUCACUGUUCCGCAUGUUACGGUGAGCAAAGAAUUUCGGUAUGCGAUGGCGAUGCGUCCCAUUAGCUAGUUGGCGGGGUAACGGCCCACCAAGGCUCCGAUGGGUAGGGGUUCUGAGAGGAAGGUCCCCCACACUGGAACUGAGACACGGUCCAGACUCCUACGGGAGGCAGCAGUGAGGAAUAUUGGUCAAUGGGCGAGAGCCUGAACCAGCCAAGUCGCGUGAGGGAUGACUGCCCUAUGGGUUGUAAACCUCUUUUGUAUGGGGGGAAUAAGCUUUACGAGUAGAGUGAUGACAGUACCAUACGAAUAAGCAUCGGCUAACUCCGUGCCAGCAGCCGCGGUAAUACGGAGGAUCCGAGCGUUAUCCGGAUUUAUUGGGUUUAAAGGGAGCGUAGGUGGAUUGUUAAGUCAGUUGUGAAAGUUUGCGGCUCAACCGUAAAAUUGCAGUUGAAACUGGCAGUCUUGAGUACAGUAGAGGUGGGCGGAAUUCGUGGUGUAGCGGUGAAAUGCUUAGAUAUCACGAAGAACUCCGAUUGCGAAGGCAGCUCACUGGACUGCAACUGACACUGAGGCUCGAAAGUGUGGGUAUCAAACAGGAUUAGAUACCCUGGUAGUCCACACAGU